CCGCAGCCCCGCCCCGCGGCCGCAGGUGCCGCGCAGGGCCCGCCCCGGCCCGGCCCCGCCCCGCGGCCCUUUUCCCGAGCGCCAGUGGGGCCCCGGCGGGAGCUUUGGUGUGCCGGGUCCGGGAGGAGCAGGUUGAGCUCCGCGGGAACUGCCCGGGGGCUGCCGGCCAGAGCCCCCCGAGGAUGGGGCUCCCCCCGAGCACGGGGCAACCGCAGCCACCUGCGGGUCAGCCAGCGGAAAGGUUUCCCGGUUGUUGCAGUCUCCAAACUCGCCGUGCCUCGUUCCCGGCAGCCCUGCCCGGGCCAGCCCGGCUCAGCACAGCAGCGGGAGAGGACGAGCCCGGCCAGGACACAGCAGAGCCCCGGGAGAGGUGACACGGGAGGGAAUGUCGGGUGAUGCCCCAGUCAGCUUCUUCAGGUUCCAGUUGUGGCUGUGCAGUGCUCCAGGUGCUUCCAGGCUGCUCCAAUUGAUUCCAGCUGUGGCUCCGAGAUGCUCCAGUUCAUUCCAGCUCUAGCUCCUAGGUGCUCCAGUUGAUGGCUGC